rfam:[Bacillus] aminovorans strain DSM 1314 DSM1314_contig_28, whole genome shotgun sequence.
UACAAGCUGCGUUGUACGUAAUCAAUAAUUAAGUUUUAACCUUUAAGCUGUAAUCGGGAGUUUUAUAUAAAAACGGAAAUGACAUGCCUCUGUCGAUACGACAAGGAGGACAAGCAAGAACGUUUUUGCGAACACCCACUUUGAGAAGUGGUGGUUUAAAACUUUCUUAUGUAAUCCAUACGGCAAAGGCGGCUUGUCU